AGAGUUUGAUCAUGGCUCAGAUUGAACGCUGGCGGCAGGCCUAACACAUGCAAGUCGAACGGUAACAGGAAGCAGCUUGCUGCUUUGCUGACGAGUGGCGGACGGGUGAGUAAUGUCUGGGAAACUGCCUGAUGGAGGGGGAUAACUACUGGAAACGGUGGCUAAUACCGCAUAACGUCGCAAGACCAAAGAGGGGGACCUUCGGGCCUCUUGCCAUCAGAUGUGCCCAGAUGGGAUUAGCUUGUUGGUGAGGUAACGGCUCACCAAGGCGACGAUCCCUAGCUGGUCUGAGAGGAUGACCAGCCACACUGGAACUGAGACACGGUCCAGACUCCUACGGGAGGCAGCAGUGGGGAAUAUUGCACAAUGGGCGCAAGCCUGAUGCAGCCAUGCCGCGUGUAUGAAGAAGGCCUUCGGGUUGUAAAGUACUUUCAGCGGGGAGGAAGGUGUUGUGGUUAAUAACCGCAGCAAUUGACGUUACCCGCAGAAGAAGCACCGGCUAACUCCGUGCCAGCAGCCGCGGUAAUACGGAGGGUGCAAGCGUUAAUCGGAAUUACUGGGCGUAAAGCGCACGCAGGCGGUCUGUCAAGUCGGAUGUGAAAUCCCCGGGCUCAACCUGGGAACUGCAUUCGAAACUGGCAGGCUUGAGUCUUGUAGAGGGGGUAGAAUUCCAGGUGUAGCGGUGAAAUGCGUAGAGAUCUGGAGGAAUACCGGUGGCGAAGGCGGCCCCCUGGACAAAGACUGACGCUCAGGUGCGAAAGCGUGGGGAGCAAACAGGAUUAGAUACCCUGGUAGUCCACGCCGUAAACGAUGUCUACUUGGAGGUUGUGCCCUUGAGGCGUGGCUUCCGGAGCUAACGCGUUAAGUAGACCGCCUGGGGAGUACGGCCGCAAGGUUAAAACUCAAAUGAAUUGACGGGGGCCCGCACAAGCGGUGGAGCAUGUGGUUUAAUUCGAUGCAACGCGAAGAACCUUACCUGGUCUUGACAUCCACAGAACUUUCCAGAGAUGGAUUGGUGCCUUCGGGAACUGUGAGACAGGUGCUGCAUGGCUGUCGUCAGCUCGUGUUGUGAAAUGUUGGGUUAAGUCCCGCAACGAGCGCAACCCUUAUCCUUUGUUGCCAGCGAUUAGGUCGGGAACUCAAAGGAGACUGCCAGUGAUAAACUGGAGGAAGGUGGGGAUGACGUCAAGUCAUCAUGGCCCUUACGACCAGGGCUACACACGUGCUACAAUGGCGCAUACAAAGAGAAGCGACCUCGCGAGAGCAAGCGGACCUCAUAAAGUGCGUCGUAGUCCGGAUUGGAGUCUGCAACUCGACUCCAUGAAGUCGGAAUCGCUAGUAAUCGUGGAUCAGAAUGCCACGGUGAAUACGUUCCCGGGCCUUGUACACACCGCCCGUCACACCAUGGGAGUGGGUUGCAAAAGAAGUAGGUAGCUUAACCUUCGGGAGGGCGCUUACCACUUUGUGAUUCAUGACUGGGGUGAAGUCGUAACAAGGUAACCGUAGGGGAACCUGCGGUUGGAUCACCU
rnacentral:rRNA from 1 species